UCCUGGGGAUCAAAGUCAAAGAGGGCCUGGACGUAUGUCGGCUGCUGCAAAACAGGAGCAGGAAAAACCCACAUUGCAUUCCUGGUCUGUGACUGGCCACCUCCGAGGCCAGAUGGGUUCCAGGGGGAAACGAAUGCGUGCCAAAUUCUCCAUGUUUCUUAAACUCACCUCCCAUCUCCCAACCCCCCGUUUAUUCUUACCUAUUCUAAGUUUACAGGCCAAGCGGGUUUAGUGUGAUAUUUCCCAGUGCUCAGAAAAUAUUAGAGUAUGUCUCCCAGAGGAGGGUGGCCAACUGUGCCGUAUUAUCAAGUAGAGGGCAGGCAGUGCUUGGAGGAGAAAGUUCUUCAGAAACAGCCAUCUGUGUUUAGGCCGUGGGCCCAGAAUCGCAAAUCCCUUCUACGACACCCUUAAGGUAUUAAAGCCUAAAGUUCUGGAGCUCGAAUAACAUAAGGGGCUCUAACCGUAACUUACGACCAGGGCUCGAGGGACAGGAACGGGUGCCGACCCCAUUCCCUCACAAGCAUAGUUUUCCUCAUAAUUUGCUUCCAGGGACAGGAUCUUUGGGUGGGUGUGUUAAAGACCAUCUCCCUAGAGAGGCUGGCAAGCUGGCUACACACUGCCUCUGGAAAAGCAAAAACCUUGUAUUUGAAACAACAAAUCUUUUUUUUUUUUUUUUUUUUUUUUUGAAAUGAAGUCUCCCUCUGUCGCCCAGGUUGGAGUGCAGUGGUGCAAUCUCAGCUCACUACAAUCUCCACCUCCUGGGUUCAAGCAAUUUUUCCAUCUCAGCUUCCCGAGUAGCUGGGACUGCAGGUGUGCGCCACCACAUCCAGCUAAUUUUUGUAUUUUUAGUAGCGACAGGGUUUCACCAUGUUGGCCAGGCUAGUCUCAAACACCUGACCUCAAGAGAUCUGCCUGCCUCGGCCUCCCAAAGUGCUGGGAUUAUAGGUGUGAGCUACUAUGCUGGGCCAGAAAAAAGAACUCUUUAGUGUGAAUGGAGGGUAACAUUUUCAGUAAGGAGCACAGAAGCCCCAGCGGCAAUCCCUGAAGGGCGCCCGCAUGUUGAGGGGCGCCUCCCCUUUCCUACAGGAAUGCACACUGAGGAGCUAUUCUUAACUAAAAAUGAUCCCAUCUCACCCUGAUGAGGCUUACCUGUGGCACCUGUUCUAUGUCCCGCAGGAAUAUCUGCUGGUUUCUGGAGACAGAUGUAGAUCUGUGAUAAUCCACCAGCUCAUUCAAAGAAUUGAACUUCACCACCCAGAGGAAGUACUUCCCGGCUCCAUCUCGGAGCACCUUGAAGUGCUGCACAUCGUUUCCAAACCUGGGAGGGACAGAAAGCACAUGUGACCGGCUAAAGGCUCUAACUUGGCAAAUCGAGGGUAUUUCCAUAUAGGAGCUAUCUCGAGAGAACCACUGUCCCAGCAGCACUCCUCAGGGACUGCAGAGCAACAAGUUUCCUCACUGGGUGUCCCUGGGACGGACCUCUCCCUAUGAAUGAUGGGCACCAGGACAACAUCCAGAAACCAGAGAGGGACAGGCCAUCAGUCAUUCUCAUUCUGAAGAUGUUUGUAAGAUAAAGAGUCCAGGCCGGGUGCGGUGGCUCACACCUGUAAUCCCAACACUUUGGAGGCCGUGGUGGGCAGAUCACCUGAGGUCGGGAGUUCGAGACCAGCCUGGCCAACAUGGAGAAAUCCCAUCUCUACUAAAAAUACAAAAGUAGCUGGGCAUGAUGGUGCAUGCCUGUAAUCCCAGCUACUCGGGAGGCUGAGGCAGGAGAAUCACUUGAACCUGGGAGGCCGAGGUUGUGGUGAGCUGAGAUCGCGCCAUUGCACUCCAACCUGGGUAACAAGAGUGAAACUCUGUCUCAAAAAAAAAAAAAAAAAGAGUCCAUGUGCCCUGAACCCUACCAAAUAAAAACAGCCGUACUUAAGACAAAGGAGUGUGACUUAACAUCCUUUGAAUAAAAAAAUAAUUAAAAUCUUAUAUGCAGGAAGAAGGUGAGGAGGGCUGGAAAUACUUUCAACAAUUCUCUCGUAACUGGGAAUAGUUCAAAGUAAUGUUUUCCAUUCAGGAAUUUUAGCUCCACUCAUGGGGAAAAGGUCUCUGAACAAAAGGACGUACUGGGACAAUAAAAGAGGCCCAGACUUCAAAACCCAAAAGCUUCUCCAUCACUAGAUCACACCCUUUUAUACUGGCAAGCAAAACCGGCAACAGCGUGGCUGGCUGGUACUAGCUCACAGGGUCUGUCACAGGAUAUUUGGCUAAAACACCAGCCUAGCGAGGGCGCUUCUGCCUGUCCUGUUCACCUGGCCGGGCACUCUCGGCAUUCUCGGCCGGAUGCGGUGGCUCAUGCCUGUAAUCCCAGCACUUUGGGAGGCCGAGGUGGGCGGAUCAUAAGGUCAGGAUAUCGAGACCACCAUGGCUAACACAGUGAAACCCCGUCUCUACUAAAAAUACAAAAAAUUAGCCAGGUGUGGUGGCAGAUGCCUGUAGUCACAGCUACUCGGGAGGCUGAGGCAGGAGAAUGGUGUGAACCCGGGAGGAGGAGCUUGCAGUGAGCCGAGAUUGGGCCACUGUACUCCAGCCUGUGCGACAGAGUGACACUCCAUCUCAUUAAAAAAAAAAAAAAAAAAAAAGGCAUUCUCUGAGAGUGCUUGUUCAAUGAAUGAAUGAGUCCCUCCUCUCCUUCAGUCUUUCAGCUGAUGGAAACCAAAGGCUUCAGAAAAUCAAUCCGGCAGGUGGCAGCACUGAGCCUCAAGGAAGCCACUCAGCACAAGAUGCCUCGCAUUUGGAAAAAAUACUGCUUUACAUGUUAAGACAAAAUGUGGAAGGUGAGAAAGCUUCAUUAGCAAGGGUAUAUUCCACGGCACUUCUGGCCCCACAGAGGCCCACUUCCACCCAUGCAAUGCAGGUGGUUUCUAAGAGCCCAGGGCCCCAAUAAUGAGCAGUGUUUCAAAUCACAGGCUCAAAACAUCCUAAAACUAAGAAACAUCUGACAACUGUUGAUUCUUGAACCUUUUUUGCAGAGGUGUGUGUGUUGUUAAAGAGAGUCAUGACACCUGCUUUGCUUCUAAAACAAUAAAUGCAUUAAAUCCUUAAAAGAUUCUACUUGAGAAAAUGGAAGUUUGAGAGUUUCUGCUGAGCAAACAGGCAGCGUCCAGCCGAGCACGUGGCUGCCCCCGUGGUUUUGGCCACCACCCAGUGAUUUACUGCUUGUUCCCCUCAUCUUAUAAGGUUUCAGUUACACUUGGGUCAGUAUAAAACUAAAGAAAGACAGGUGUCACACAUGUUUUUCUUUUCUUUUUUUUUUUUUUUUAAAGAUGGAUGGAGUCUUGCUCUUUCACCCAGGCUGGAAUGCAAUGGCUCAGUCUCGGCUCACUGCAACCUCUGCCUCCUAGGUUCAAGUGAUUCUCCUGCUUCAGCCUCCGGAGUAGCUGGGAAUACAGGCAUGUGCCACCACGCCUGGCUAAUUUUUGUAUUUUUUUAGUAGGGACAGUGUUUCACCAUAUUGGUCAGGCUGGUCUCAAACUCCUGACCUCAUGAUCGGCCCGCCUCAGCCUCCUAAAGGGCUGGGAUUACAGGCAUGAGCCACCAUGCCGGGCCACAACUAUAAAUUUAAAAUCUACGUUUCAAAAAAAAAAUCUACAUUUUAAUCACACAUUAAGUGGUUCUAAAACCAAAUAAGAUAUUCAGUUUGUUUGUUUGUUUUGGGAGACACAGUCUUACUCUGUCACUCAGGCUGGAGUGUAGUGGCACGAUCUUGGCUCAUCUGCCUCUCGGGUUCAAGUGAUUCUUCUCUCUCAGCCUCCUGAGUAGCUGGGAUUACAGGCACACGCCACCACGCCGAGGCCAUUUUUGUAUUUUUUUUUUUUUUUUUUUUUUUAGUAGAGACAGGGUUUUACCAUGUUCGCCAGGCUGGUCUCGAACUUCUGACCUCAGGUGAUCUGCCUGCCUCGGCCUCCCAAAGUGCUGGGAUUACAGGUGUGAGCCACCGCACCCAGUUUUUUUUUUUUUUUUUUUUUUUUUUUUGGAGACAGAGUUUUGCUCUUCGCCCAGGCUAAAGUGCAAUGGCGCCAUCUCGCCUCACUACAACCUCCGCCUCCUGGAUUCAAAUGAUUCUCUGGCCUCAGCCUCCCAAGUAGCUGGGACUACAGGUGUGUGCCACUAUGCCUGGGUUAUUUUCUAUUUUUAGCAGAAACAGGGUUUCACCAUGUUGGCCAGGCUGGUCAGUUCAUUUUUGAAAUGGAAAAGUCUCACGCUUUACAUCAGUUAUAAAUGGGAAAUGGUGGCUGGAAGCAGUGGCUCCAGCCUGUAAUCCCAGCACUUUGGGAGGUCGAGGUGGGUGGAUCACCUGAGGUCAGGAGUUCAAGACCAGCCUGGCCAAUAUGGCAAAACCCCAUCUCUACUAAAAAUACAAAAAUAAGCCGGGCGUGGUGUCAGGCACCUGUAAUCCCAGGUACUCGGAGGGUGGGGCAGGGAGAACUGCUUGAACCUGGGAGGUGGAGGUUGCAGUGAGCUGAGGCAUGCCAUUGGACUCCAGCCUGGGGGACAGAGCGAGACUCUGUCUCAAAAAUAAGUAAAUAAAAUAAAAGGAAAAUGGUUUUCUAUCCCCCAUUCAAAAACAAAACAAUCUUAAUGUAAUCUAAACUAAGUAGUGAUCUGAGUGUUGAAUCUAAUUACUUCUUUAUAUAUAACUGAUGAAGUGAUCUGCCGGACUCCUGGGGAGGGUCCUAUGAUAAUACAUUAACUAGAAAAUAACUGAAAGUAAAAAACAUGGAAAUAACAAUUUAAUUCAAAAUCCCGACUUCACAGCUGAGGUGUGAAUUGUUUAGAAUCUUCAAGUGCUGGUUUCUAUUCUCCACACUCUCCAUGGCGGCAGAACUUCCUGUCUUCUCCAUUCCCUGCUUACCCGCUCCCUUUCACACCUGAACUUUCCACCGGGGAAAUGCAAGCCCCACAUCCCCUGCAGCAGCCUUCUUAAGUGACUGUGAGGGCCUAGGAUGGGGCUGGUUGAUUUAAGUCAGUGGACCUGAGCAAGGCAAGCCAAGGCAGCCGACAGGCGCUCCACUAUCCCAUUAGAGAGAGCUGCGGGAAUCCCUUGGAGGGCAGAAGCUCAGGAGUGCUGGGCACUAGGGAAAACUGGCAGGCUCCAGCUGGCUGCAGGGAGCUGCUGCUCACCUCCUGAAGGCUGUGUCCACAUGGGAAUCUACAUCCAGUGCUUCUAGAACUCAUUUUGAGAGGAGCCAGAAAUUAGGAUUUUAAUGUGAAAUGAAGAAACUGUUUAGGCUAAGCCUCCACCAUUUUGUGUGUAGCCAGGCACCUGACCAACGGCUUCACAAUUUGGAUCAGUCAGAGACAGGAUUCCAGGCAACUGCAGCAGGAAAUACUUACUUGACAGAGAGGGAGAAGUCCCCAGGAGCGCUCUCACUCUCUCGGAUAAGAAAGGCCCCAUCGUGCCGCUGUUUGCUAAGCAUUUCUUCUGCCUUGGCUCUGGGGAUUUUGCCAAAAAACCACCUAAGGAAGGAAGGCAAGCUGGUCAACAUCUGCUUCCCCACAAAGAAACGGGAUAUCCAGCCUUCAAAAUGUGAGUAACACAACACUCCUUGCCAGAGGAAGGGGCCUCCCUCCUCAUCCUCCAGCCUCACAGUGCCCAAGAUCGACACUGGGUUGGGUCCCCAGAGAUGGACCUUCAAAGGUCUUUAGCCUACUCCAUUUCCCAGAAAGC
rnacentral:lncRNA from 1 species